rnacentral:tRNA from 2 species
AGCUCUGAGGUGUUAACAUAUUAGAUUGCAAAUCUGAAGUAGCAGGGUAGUUCCUGCCGGGGCUU